rnacentral:misc_RNA from 1 species
GAAGUGCGAUAAGCAAUGCGAAUUGCAGAACCGUGAGUCAUCAGAUUUUUGAACGCAACUGGCACUGAUUGGCUAUCCAGUCAGUAUGCUUGUUUCAGUGUCUUGUUUUCUCCUCACCCAAAUCUUAAUGCGAGAGAUACCCUUCUCUUGCUAAGUAUGAAAGCACUCUGAGCCCUGCAGGUGCCUUUGCUUCGGCUUAGGUCACACUCAAUGCAGCGGUCACUUUUCACAAAGUGAACUCAUUGAGAGCGGAGUCAGCGCAGCUUGUCUGCAAGUGCUUAGACCCUCAAACUCUUCUUGUAUCUGAAAUCAAGCAGGAUUACCCGCUGAACUUAA